GCAGCUACACAUGCAGUCGAGCGCGAAAGGCCUUCGGGCUGAGUAGAGCGGCGGACGGGUGAGUAACGCGUAGGAAUCUACCUGGUAGUGGGGGACAACAUGGUGAAAACCAUGCUAAUACCGCAUACGCCCUAUGGGGGAAAGCGGGGGACCUUCGGGCCUCGCGCUAUCAGAUGAGCCUGCGUAGGAUUAGCUUGUUGGUGAGGUAAAGGCUCACCAAGGCGACGAUCCUUAGCUGGUCUGAGAGGAUGAUCAGCCACACUGGAACUGAGACACGGUCCAGACUCCUACGGGAGGCAGCAGUGGGGAAUAUUGCGCAAUGGGCGAAAGCCUGACGCAGCCAUGCCGCGUGUGUGAAGAAGGCCUUCGGGUUGUAAAGCACUUUCAAUUGGGAAGAAAGGUUGCGUGUUAAUAGCACGUAGCUGUGACGUUACCUUUAGAAGAAGCACCGGCUAACUCCGUGCCAGCAGCCGCGGUAAUACGGAGGGUGCGAGCGUUAAUCGGAAUUACUGGGCGUAAAGCGCGCGUAGGCGGUUUGUUAAGUCGGAUGUGAAAUCCCCGGGCUCAACCUGGGAAUGGCAUUCGAUACUGGCCGACUAGAGUACGAGAGAGGGAGGUAGAAUUCCACGUGUAGCGGUGAAAUGCGUAGAUAUGUGGAGGAAUACCGGUGGCGAAGGCGCCCUCCUGGCUCGAUACUGACGCUGAGGUGCGAAAGCGUGGGUAGCAAACAGGAUUAGAUACCCUGGUAGUCCACGCCGUAAACGAUGUCUACUAGCCGUU
rnacentral:rRNA from 1 species